AUGGAGCCAACCUUGAAAUACCACCCUUUAAUGUUUGAUGUUCUAACUCGGCCCCAUAAUCUGGGGUGAGGACAGUGUCUGGUGGGUAGUUUGACUGGGGCGGUCUCCUCCCAAAGAGUAACGGAGGAGCACGAAGGUUAGCUAAUCACGGUCGGACAUCGUGAGGUUAGUGCAAAGGCAUAAGCUAGCUUGACUGCGAGAGUGACGGCUCGAGCAGGUACGAAAGUAGGUCUUAGUGAUCCGGUGGUUCUGAAUGGAAGGGCCAUCGCUCAACGGAUAAAAGGUACUCCGGGGAUAACAGGCUGAUACCGCCCAAGAGUUCAUAUCGACGGCGGUGUUUGGCACCUCGAUGUCGGCUCAUCACAUCCUGGGGCUGAAGUAGGUCCCAAGGGUAUGGCUGUUCGCCAUUUAAAGUGGUACGCGAGCUGGGUUUAGAACGUCGUGAGACAGUUCGGUCCCUAUCUGCCGUGGGCGUUGGAAGAUUGAGAGGGGCUGCUCCUAGUACGAGAGGACCGGAGUGGACGAAUCACUGGUGUUCGGGUUGUCAUGCCAAUGGCAUUGCCCGGUAGCUAAAUUCGGAAGAGAUAACCGCUGAAAGCAUCUAAGCGGGAAACUUGCCUCGAGAUGAGUCUUCCCUGGGGCUUUAAGCCCCCUGAAGGAACGUUAAAGACUAUGACGUUGAUAGGCUGGGUGUGUAAGUGCAGCGAUGCAUUGAGCUAACCAGUACUAAUGAUCCGUGAGGCUUAACCU
rnacentral:rRNA from 1 species